AUUGAACGCUGGCGGCAGGCCUAACACAUGCAAGUCUAACGAGUGGCGGACGGGUGAGUAAUGUAUGGGAAACUGCCCGAUGGAGGGGGAUAACUACUGGAAACGGUAGCUAAUACCGCAUACCAUCGGAUGUGCCCAGAUGGGAUUAGCUAGUAGGUGGGGUAACGGCUCACCUAGGCGCCGGUCCCUAGCUGGUCUGAGAGGAUGACAAGCCAAACUGGAACUGAGACACGGUCCAAACUCCUACGGGAGGCAGCAGUGGGGAAUAGUGCACAAUGGGCGCAAGCCUGAUGCAGCCAUGCCGCGUGUAUGAAGAAGGCCUUCGGGUUGUAAAGUACUUUCGGCGGGGAGGCGUUACACGAAGAGGAAGCACCGGCUAACUCCGUGCCAGCAGCCGCGGUAAUAC
rnacentral:rRNA from 1 species